rnacentral:rRNA from 1 species
AGUGAACGCUGGCGGUAGGCCUAACACAUGCAAGUCGAACGGCAGCACAGUAAGAGCUUGCUCUUACGGGUGGCGAGUGGCGGACGGGUGAGGAAUACAUCGGAAUCUACUUUUUCGUGGGGGAUAACGUAGGGAAACUUACGCUAAUACCGCAUACGACCUACGGGUGAAAGCAGGGGAUCUUCGGACCUUGCGCGAUUGAAUGAGCCGAUGUCGGAUUAGCUAGUUGGCGGGGUAAAGGCCCACCAAGGCGACGAUCCGUAGCUGGUCUGAGAGGAUGAUCAGCCGCACUGGAACUGAGACACGGUCCAGACUCCUACGGGAGGCAGCAGUGGGGAAUAUUGGACAAUGGGCGCAAGCCUGAUCUAGCCAUACCGCGUGGGUGAAGAAGGCCUUCGGGUUGUAAAGCCCUUUUGUUGGGAAAGAAAAGCAGCAGGUUAAUACCCCGCUGUUCUGACGGUACCCAAAGAAUAAGCACCGGCUAACUUCGUG